rnacentral:lncRNA from 1 species
GUGUGUUAUACAAAUUAUAAUAGCUUUGAGAGAUUAGCCUAAGGUUGUGUGACAUUUUGGUGAAUGUAUAGUGGUCUUGUAGCUAUCAAUCCUCCAUUCUUCUUGUGGAGUGGAGUGGAGUUGUAUCAUUGUGCGGGGGACAAGGAGACCCAUGCCUCAUGUGGAGAAAGUCCAUAGAGUGUGCAAGUUGACCGGAACAGUGCCGGUCCUAUAAUUUUAAGGGCCCUCUGGCGAAUUUAUCGUGACGACUCCUCUAAACUAUAAAAUCUUAUAAUAAUAUAAGCUAAUUUUGUUCAUAAGAGGAAAGUAAAUCCAAUCAUAUAUAGAUAAACUGCACUUUUUGUCUUUUCAUUUUUUCAAAGCCCCUGGCAAAUGUUUCUGAGGUAAUACUCUAAAAUUCUAACAUAUGGCUAUAUGAGUACAAAGUACUACACAAAAAUUAAACAAGAAAAAAAACCUAGUUCCUAAACAAUUGAGACAUGAACUAAUUCAGAAUCAAAAUCAAGAUUCACAAAACACAAAAAAUAAAAGGGUAGAAGGAAAGAACCAGAUCACAUGUCAUAGCCCUCGUCGAGCCCUGCCAGCUGGUCAUCGCCGUUGUCCUUUGGAUUUUGGAAGACUAAAACUCAGGCGCAAAGGUUUCGGUAUUAUCCACUGCAGCUAGUGAUCGCGUUAUGAACUAGUGAUCGUGUCGCCGAUGUCGCUACGUCUCUCCUCGUGGUCUCGUCAUCUCACCAGAAGUCUAAAAGUCGUGACUCGUGAUCGCUAUGUGUGGUAGCGUAUGUACGGACAUUGGUGGCUUGGCUCCUUGGUUCACGACUUUUUUUAGUGAUAGGCCUGC